GAAUAUGCCCUGAUGUGGGGGAUAACUAUUGGAAACGAUAGCUAAUACCGCAUAAUCUCUUCGGAGCAAAGAGGGGGACCUUCGGGCCUCUCGCGUCAGGAUUAGCCCAGGUGGGAUUAGCUUGUUGGUGAGGUAAUGGCUCACCAAGGCAACGAUCCCUAGCUGGUCUGAGAGGAUGAUCAGCCACACUGGAACUGAGACACGGUCCAGACUCCUACGGGAGGCAGCAGUGGGGAAUAUUGCACAAUGGGGGAAACCCUGAUGCAGCCAUGCCGCGUGUGUGAAGAAGGCCUUCGGGUUGUAAAGCACUUUCAGUAGGGAGGAAGGUAGUGUAGUUAACACCUGCAUUAUUUGACGUUACCUACAGAAGAAGCACCGGCUAACUCCGUGC
rnacentral:rRNA from 1 species